rnacentral:lncRNA from 1 species
AUGGAAUUAUUUCAAAUCCUAAUUAUUUCAUCUGACCAGACAAUUAAAGAAGAUUGGAUGCUUUUGUUUUGGCAUUUGAAUUCUACUGUUCCAGCACAUUGGCUACAUGUCCCUUUACAAGAAGUUUUGAAUCCCAGAGGUGGAAUGAUGUCUACUGCAGGAUAUCAGACCCUCAAGCUGGGGAAUGUUAGAAAAGAAUUUGGGGAGAAUGCAGCUACUUCCAUUACCACUUUUGAAAUCUCCUCAAUGAUGCCUUCAUUCAGCAGUUGAGGAAGAGUUUCACUUUGACUGAGAAGACGUUUCCAUGUUCUUAAGAAUUUCCUGUAUGAAAAGGUGCUCUAACUCUUCAUCAGUCUUAUAGAAGAUUGCUCCUGAAUAAUCAGAAGUGUCAAAUUCACUUCUGAUCAGUUGAAUGAAGUGAUGAGAGAAACAACUUGGCCAGUAUGUGCAAGGUAGGAGGUAAGAAAAACAUUGCAAUUACAGUAUCAGAAAAUAACUUCAUAGGGAAAUGGAAGCCUAAUCAAUGUGUUAUAUAGGUAUUUAGAUGUAUGUCUACACACAGCCUUUGUAAAAGCAGUUUGCCUGUUAGUAUAGACGUUUCCCCAAUUACUAUUACACCCGUUAUCCUGAAAUAACAAUUCUUCAGCCUCGGUACUUUUUCUAUUCUUUACUAUAAGGUUCUACAACACUUGAGCAUAUAAUGGGAACUUGACUCCAGGUGCUAUUGCAAAUAAAUAUAAAGGCAACCAGGACUGACUGAGCCUA